UAACUUUCAACAACGGAUCUCUUGGCUCUUGCAUCGAUGAAGAACGCAGCGAAAUGCGAUAAGUAAUGUGAAUCGCAGAAUUCCGUGAAUCAUCAAAUCUUUGAACGCAAAUUGCACUCCUUGGUAUUCCGAGGAGUAUGCUUGUUUGAGGGUUGUUC
rnacentral:rRNA from 1 species